CCGGGAUAGCUCAGUUGGUAGAGCAGAGGACUGAAAAUCCUCGUGUCAC
rnacentral:tRNA from 2 species